AUUGAACGCUGGCGGCAUGCCUUACACAUGCAAGUCGAACGGCAGCACGGGAGCAAUCCUGGUGGCGAGUGGCGAACGGGUGAGUAAUAUAUCGGAACGUGCCCAGUCGUGGGGGAUAACGUAGCGAAAGCUACGCUAAUACCGCAUACGAUCUAUGGAUGAAAGCGGGGGAUCGCAAGACCUCGCGCGAUUGGAGCGGCCGAUAUCAGAUUAGGUAGUUGGUGAGGUAAAGGCUCACCAAGCCGACGAUCUGUAGCUGGUCUGAGAGGACGACCAGCCACACG
rnacentral:rRNA from 1 species